UGGGGAAUAUUGGACAAUGGGGGCAACCCUGAUCCAGCGAUGCCGCGUGUGUGAAGAAGGCCUACGGGUUGUAAAGCACUUUCGGUGGGGAGGAGGACGAUUAGGUUAAGAGCUAGAUUGUUGGACGUUACCCACAUAAGAAGCACCGGCUAACUCCGUGCCAGCAGCCGCGGUAAUACGGAGGGUGCGAGCGUUAAUCGGAAUUACUGGGCGUAAAGGGUGCGUAGGCGGUUUGAUAAGUUAAGUGUGAAAGUCCUGGGCUCAACCUAGGGAAGUCACUUAAGACUGUCAGACUGGAGUAUAGGAGAGGGCAGUGGAAUUUCCGGUGUAGCGGUGAAAUGCGUAGAUAUCGGAAGGAACACCAGUGGCGAAGGCGGCUGCCUGGCCUAAUACUGACGCU
rnacentral:rRNA from 1 species